rnacentral:lncRNA from 1 species
UGCCCACUCUCGGGUUGUUGCCGAUGUCCAGGUAAUCGCUGCCCUGUGAGUGCAUCACAGCCAGGCCCAGGUCGGCGAUGCAACACUGCAGGUUGCUCUUGACCAGCACAUUGCGGCUCUUGAAGUCGCGGUGGGCAAUGGCUGGUUUGCCCUGUGUACCGAAGAUCUCCACGUGCAGGUGCGCCAGGCCGCAUGCCGCGGACACAGCUAGCCUCAGAGCCAGAUGGGGCUCCAGCGUCUGUCUCUGCAGAAAGUCGUAGAGGGAGCCGUGCUCGUGGUAGUGCGUGAUGAGCCACAGCUGCGUGCUCGAGUUGCGGGAGGUCAUGUCUGAGGCGAUGAAGCCU